CGGCGCCGGCAGCGCCGCGGAGCCGGAGCGUCGUGAGCGGCCCUGGUGCGGCGGUUUGGCUACAGCCGGGCGAGAGGCGGCGCCAGCAGCGCGAGGAGCGCGGUCAGCGAGCGAGCUUGCACAGUUACAGACUGACCUCAGUGUGGUCUGUCAUGGAGCGUGAAGAUUUCACAGAAGUCAGCCUGGAGGCACCUCUUGUGCUGUUAGUGGAGUCUCUGAGAAAUCAGAUCAGGACUGUCCAGUCUCUUCAAGAUGAAGAAGAGAACAUGCAGGAAUGCUGGGGCAGACUCCAGGUUGCUGCCAGUAACCUGAAG